AGACGUCUACAUUAGAUACCCGCGUAGUCCUAGCCGUAAACGAUACUCGCUAGGUGUCGGCCACGGUGCGACCGUUGUCGGUGCCGUAGGGAAGCCGUGAAGCGAGCCACCUGGGAAGUACGGCCGCAAGGCUGAAACUUAAAGGAAUUGGCGGGGGAGCACCACAACGGGUGGAGCUUGCGGUUUAAUUGGAUUCAACGCCGGAAAUCUUACCGGGACCGACAGCAACAUGAAGGCCAGGCUGAAGACUUUGCCGGAUUAGCUG
rnacentral:rRNA from 1 species